rnacentral:snoRNA from 1 species
AGUCUCUCAGCUCCGCUUGAUCAAACAGCUCAGUGUGUGCCUAUGUAUUUUCAAUGAGAGGUAGGCUCUCCCAAUGUGCAGAGCUGCCCAAAAGGGCCUGUCUGUUCCUAGGAGUGCAACUGAU